rnacentral:lncRNA from 1 species
CAGGUUUACGAUCAAUACACACAAGUGUUUGCAGAGAAAACACACGCAAAAAUUAUAUUAACUUCCACACCUAUAUAAUACAGACUCGAUGCAUACAUAUAUUAAAAAACUCAACUGCUACUCCUACAAAAUAGGAACCACUCCUACCAAUACUCCACUACCUACACUUAUCCAACUGAUCGUGUAAAAUAGCUAAACAAACCAAGACCUAUUCAUACUCAGACAAUACCAUUGACACAACGUUUGCCAGCAAACUAAACAACUGACUCACAUAUUUAAAAUAAAACAAAUAAAACAAAUAAUUAAUAACACCUAAAUUUAAGAUUAUUCCAACAAAA